rnacentral:tRNA from 1 species
UUAACUGAAGCCAAAACAAAGAGGCUUUUCAUUGUUAAUGAAACUAUUGAUUAAUUAAUCCAGUUAAA